GGCGCCUCACCUUUUACUGUUUGUCUUCUAUGAAAGGCGGACUCGGACUUGCUGCGUUCCACAACUGUAUUUUAUAUUUUAUGUGAAAAUAUUGAGUGAAUAUGCUAAUUGUUAUUUUUUCCAAUCGGAAAACAUGUAGUUUCUUGUAACUGAUAUCGAACAGACAGCGUCAAGAGGACAUUUUGACUGUUCUGUAUAAAGUAUUUAACCACAAUGGUCAUCUAUUGUAAUUUAAUAUGAAAAGGAUCAAGAAUGCCCUGUUCCUAGCAUGUUAAACGUUCAUGAUUCUCAGAGGAGUGCAGAGGAUUUAGAAAGAAAUUCCACAUGUGUGUGGCCUGUCAUUUCCACCCAGCACUGCCUGUUUCUCUGCUGCACCAAGUCUUGUUGACACACAGGCUUGACCGUUCCCAGCACAGUUGAGCUCAACUACCCACGGUGUGGGGAACAGGAUGGAGCAGUUGGCUGCAGCCUGUCUCUGGCAGAUAACCAGGAAAAUAGGAGAUUCAUCUCGUCCUCUUUUUCUCCUACACUAAAAAUGCUGAAUAUUACAUGAAGGCUCUGACUUAUCCAGAAGACUGGAACAAAAGAAAACUUUUUUCUGUAAUUAGUUGAUGUUGGAUCAAAAUAAAUAAAUAAAGCUAUAGUCUUUCUUAUAGAAUAUUUAGCAACAUCCUGUCCAAAAGAGCUCUAUGCAUAUCAUAGAACCACAAUUUCUAACAAAAACAACAUGUAUCAGUCAGAAACUUCCACCUAUAAGGAAAGUGUCUUUCA